GUUGAUUCUUGCAAAAUUUGAUAAGAAAAAAAAGGAAGAACGUCUAGCAUAGUUGCAAUCUACAAUGACUAUAACAAUUCCACGUCUUCUAUAACCUAAUUUUACACCAAGUUAGGAAAGGCUAGCAGCAAUUUUGCAAGAAUCAACCAAGAACAACAAAGAUCAAGUUCUUUCAGUUGGGGCAAGGUGCUCCAUAUGUUUUGUAAGAUCAUUUAUGGUGUUUGCAUUCCACCAACGUCUCUCAUCACUUGUUCUUCGAUGGAAUCCAGGAUCGAGUUCUUGUGUGCUAGUAGAACCAGGAGCUUCUGUAAGGAAAUAUUCCCAGAAAUGAUCAUUUGCUCCUCCCGUGGGAGUAGACGAAUUUGUUGUCUCCAAUUCUGAUUCUGAUUCUUUUACGGCUUCAACCACAGGAGCACUGCCGGUAGGCUUGCAGUUUACAUCAAACUGUGGAGAUUGAGGUGGAGUUUUCGGGCUAUUGAUGUGAUCGAUACAUAUAGGUAGCUCAGGAGAUGACGGAAGAUCCAUAGAAUGCAGUGAAGAUUGAUAUGAUCUAGGGGAGUAAGUUUCUCCAUCUAUGGAAGAUGCAUUUGGCUCUCUAAAAAUAAUUGGUGAAGGCUGCGAGGCUAGGGCGAAAUCCUGCAUAUCUUGCGUAAAAGCUUCCCCUGCUCCAUAAAAGAAAUCUUCAAUACAUUUUAUGGAUGAAUCCAACUUCUCCACUAACUCAAAAUUCGACUUUGAGUCUUUCAAAAAAUGCAAACUCUCCUUCUCUUCCAUGUCGUGAUCGACAUUGAAAGGAUCAUGUUCAAUUAAUCUCCUCUUUUUGCUAUGGUAUUCUGAUUGCUGCAUGAAAAUGGAGGCAAAUCCAGGUUUCUUUGCAAUUUGAGCCAAGAAAGAAACUAACUGAAUCUGCCUUCGCUCCAAACCCUGCAAUCUCUCACCUAAUGACAUAAUUUGACACCCAAAGGCCUGCUUCUCGGAUUCAUGUCUCUGUAGCUCCAGCUGAAGCA
rnacentral:misc_RNA from 1 species